ACGGUGACUCAGGUGAAGUCUGAAAGAGCGAGACAGGAGGAUACGCCUGCGCUUCAAGGAAAGCUGCUAGCAGAGAGCGCUGGCACAGUACUUGUGGCGCCCACCUGUAGCCACAGCAAACUUUCCACCCCUUCUGGGUUUGAAGAAUCGGGUCCCUUACGCCACCCUCUGGCCCAAACCGACACGGCCGAGAGCUCCGCACCUGAAAACCCUAAAACCCCAACCUGAUCUGUCCCAGAGGGGCUGCCUGCGCCCGCGGCCGUUCGGGUUUGCAGUAUGGAGGGUCGGGGUUGCCAGCUAGAGAUUAGUAAUUUGCAAAGAAGAGCGGGAAGACACCGUUCUCUACCCUUUCCAACUUCAGCUCCCAACUUUACCAGACACGCAGCCGCUGCCCUCCAGUUCCCCCGCGGCACGCGCCCGGCCCCGCGGCCUCUCCUACGCGGCCCUUGGGGAGGGGGCUACCCAAGGUCGGCGGAAGCCCCUCGCACUUACAGCCAUAGCGAGGUCUCUGCAAAGACGGCAGUUCUUCAUGGGGCAUCCUGCGCGCCUCCGGGGGCCCCCCCGGGGCGCGCCCCCCACGGCUCCCCUCGCUGGCCAGGCUCGCGGGCUUCGCGCCCCGCCGGCGCGCUGGGAUCCCGCCUCUCUCUGCCCUCGCCUCCCUGCUCCGAGAUGGGCGACCCGCUCCCUCGGUGCUUCCACCCGGGAGCCCGCUGCAGCCGCCGCGCGCUGACACUGGAGCAAAAGUGAACUCUCCUCCCUCGUUCCCUCACCGGCCGCCGCCUCCCCCAGCAGGUUUCCUUUCUCCUCCAGCCCGGCCCCGUUAUUCACCGCGGUGGGAGCGCGCGCGCCGCGGCGCAGCGACCCCUACCGCAUGCCGGGCGCAAAGCCCAGACCGCGUGGACCCGCCCCUGCCCGGCCCGGGGUAGGAGGAAGGGGUUGAGCAGCCAGCAGGGCACGGACCCCCUGCAGCUGAGGCCCAGCGCACAGCUGGCGGCCUGGAGAGUGAAUUCUACAAUAUCGUGAAAAGCACUGAAUACUUGUGGGGAGAUAAAAUUAAGCAAAGUAAAAGAGUUCGUGAAGUCUGGCAUGGGGGUACACACCUGUAAUCACAGAGAUCUGGGAGGCUGAGAAUCACUGGAAGAUGAUGUUGCCGGCAUUCUAAACCUCUCAAUAUCCCAGAAGAUCCAAGCUCCCUUUUAUUUUAUUUCUAAUUUUAUACUAUUUGUAAGCAAAUAAAAAAAUAAUACUUUAAAAUCUUA